CGGGUCCAGAUUGAGGCAUGAGGUUACCCUUCAGUCGUCAGCCAUGCGCCUGCUACCUCUGAUGCUGCUGCUCUGUCUGGCGGUCUUCGCUGUCGAAGGCGCCCCUAAUCAGGGCUACUGUGGCCUUGGAGGCUCCUGGUGUCCCAGCGGCCAAGUCUGCCGUAGGUGCGGAAUCCCGAUGCCUGGCCGAUGCUGCGUGCCCCUAUCCUUAUGCCGUAAGGCAAAAAGGAAUGAUCCAUUGCUGGUCUGCUGAUCGCAGCUCUGGCCGUCGCCAGCGUGGGAUAAGUCGAGAGCUGCGAUGUUGGUGCCGAAAGCGGAAUUCGUCCACCGUUCAGAGCUUAGCCAAGUCAAAUGUUCUGCCUUUUCGUUACAUGCUGAAUGGUGCGGGGCGUUUCCUCGCCGCAUGUUUUCACACUCCAUGCAGGCGAGUGAUUUCCAGAAAAAUAAUCUCCUGAAAGGCUUGAGAAAAGUUGACACGCAUCUGGCGACCAGAGGUACACCUCCCUGUGUCGGCACGUGGUCGUGGUCUGCGCGCUGUAAACAGUGCAGAUUCAAAACAGGCAAUACGAAUCAAAAUGCGUGUUGUCAAAUACAAUAGAACCGAACGAGCAGCAACAGUGUACAACGACAUUCACGCGUAGGCAGCAACUUUGUCAAAAUACACCGCGGAUAUCUGAUAU